rnacentral:rRNA from 1 species
GCUAGCGGCAGGCCUAACACAUGCAAGUCGAGGGGUAACAGGAAAGCUUGCUUUUGCUGACGACCGGCGCACGGGUGCGUAACGCGUAUGCAACCUACCUCAUACUGGAGGAUAGCCCCUGGAAACGGGGAUUAAUACUCCAUGGCAUCAUGAAUUCGCAUGUUUUUAUGAUUAAAGAAUUUCGGUAUGAGAUGGGCAUGCGUCCCAUUAGCUAGUUGGUGAGGUAACGGCUCACCAAGGCUACGAUGGGUAGGGGGCCUGAGAGGGUGGUCCCCCACACUGGUACUGAGACACGGACCAGACUCCUACGGGAGGCAGCAGUGAGGAAUAUUGGUCAAUGGAGGCAACUCUGAACCAGCCAUGCCGCGUGAAGGAUGACGGCCCUAUGGGUUGUAAACUUCUUUUAUAGAGGAAGAAACUUAUCUACGUGUAGAUAACUGACGGUACUCUACGAAUAAGGAUCGGCUAACUCCGUGCCAGCAGCCGCGGUAAUACGGAGGAUCCAAGCGUUAUCCGGAUUCAUUGGGUUUAAAGGGUCCGUAGGCGGGUCUUUAAGUCAGUGGUGAAAGCCGACAGCUCAACUGUCGAACUGCCAUUGAUACUGGAGGCCUUGAGUACAAAUGAAGUA